GCAAACUUGGUCAUUUAGAGGAAGUAAAAGUCGUAACAAGGUUUCCGUAGGUGAACCUGCGGAAGGAUCAUUCAUAAUAAAAGUGAAUUUUUAUGGCACUUUUAAAACAAUCCAUAUCCACCUUGUGUGCAAUGUUUUUUUUUUUUAUUAAACUCAUUUUUUUUAAUAUGUUUUGUCUGAAAUAUUUUUAUGAAUUUACUUAAUUCUAAAAUAUAACUUUCAACAACGGAUCUCUUGGCUCUCGCAUCGAUGAAGAACGCAGC
rnacentral:misc_RNA from 1 species